UACAGAGGGUGCAAGCGUUGUUCGGAAUUACUGGGCGUAAAGCGCGUGUAGGCUGCGAUGUAAGUCAGGUGUGAAAGCCCUCAGCUUAACUGAGGAAGUGCACUUGAUACUGCGUCGCUUGAGUGUCGGAGGGGGUGGCGGAAUUCCCGGUGUAGAGGUGAAAUUCGUAGUAUCGGGGAGGAACACCGGUGGCGAAGGCGGGUCGCUGGGCGAGUAACUGACGCUGAGGAGCGAAAGCGUGGGGAGCGAACAGG
rnacentral:rRNA from 1 species